CCUGGUUUAGCACAUGCUUAUAGUUUCUAUAUUAUGUUUUCUUUAAGAACAAAAGAGGCUUUUCCUUGGAGUGUGAGGAAGUGAGGAAUGAAGAUUUGUGUUUCCCUGAGCAGAUGCUGAAAGCAGUUAAAUAUGAUAAUGCAGCCAUUGUUCAUAUAGUGCAUGAAAUUGCUGAGUUUUUCAAGAGAGCAGACACACCUUUUCAAGACAAGAACAUUUUUCUGAGAGGAAUGUAUGAGGCUCAUGCUCAGCUCAAGACAUGUCUGAAGUCCAGGCGUAACAGCAGCCAUGAGUCUGUAGUGAAAGACUGCUUCAAAAAAAUGGAUGAAUUUGUGACCAAGUCAAAUGAUCACUGCAUUUGGCAAGAGAUCCAUGCACAUUCCAGAGAGAUACUCCAAAGAAUUGAAAACUACUCUUUCAAGAGAAGAGCAACACAUUAGCAAAGCCAGUUGCUAUCAAAUACUUCAAGGAUCUAAAAUCAUGCCAAGAUGUAAAAAUUAAAGGAAGAAAAAACCACACUCUUUUCAUUUAGGACUAUAAACAGAUUAACUUAUUUUUGUCAAGAUAUUUUUCUAAACUACUAUAAAAACUUAAGCCUUAAUAAAAAGAUGUAAAAACCCCUAUGGAAAUAUAUUUGCAUUUAUUUGUUUUACAAAA
rnacentral:lncRNA from 12 species